rnacentral:rRNA from 1 species
CAGUGCCGCGGGAAUACAGAGGGUGCGAGCGUUAAUCGGAUUUACUGGGCGUAAAGCGUGCGUAGGCGGCUUCUUAAGUCGGAUGUGAAAUCCCUGAGCUUAACUUAGGAAUUGCAUUCGAUACUGGGAAGCUAGAGUAUGGGAGAGGAUGGUAGAAUUCCAGGUGUAGCGGUGAAAUGCGUAGAGAUCUGGAGGAAUACCGAUGGCGAAGGCAGCCAUCUGGCCUAAUACUGACGCUGAGGUACGAAAGCAUGGGGAGCAAACAGGAUUAGAUACCCCUGUAGUCCCUGUCUCUUAUACC